UUUUUUAAACAUUGUUAAAAAAAUACAAAUAUUGAUUUUUAUUUUAUUUUGAAAGACCAUCCAAUCAUCCCACCCAAGAAUCCCCCCCUCCAAAUUAGUUUUUUUCAUUUUUAGCUCCACUGGCCAGAGGCCAGCGGGUUUUAUGUCAUGGUCCUGUGUCUGUCGUGCGUGCGUCUGUGCGUUAACUUUUUCUUUAAACAUCUUCUUCUCCUAAACUACUGGUCCAAUUCUGAUGAAAUUUCUCAGGAAUGUUCCUGGGGUGAACCUUUUUCAAAUUUGUUCAAAUUAUCUCCCUGGGGUCAAAUUUGACCCUGCCCCGGGGGGUCGAAACAUUGAAAAUUUGCUUAUAUAAAGGCCUAUUUUGUGAAAAAAAAUUCUCAUCCAUAACCAUUGGGCCUAGGGCUACCAAAUUUGGUAUGAAGUGACAUCUUAUAGUCCUCUACCAAGUUUCUUCAAAUGUUGCCCCUGGGGUCAAAUUUGACCCUGCCCUGGGGGGUCAGAAAAUUUGCUUAAAUAAGGCCUAUUUUGUGAAAACUUUAAAAAUCUGCUCAUCCAUAACCAUUGGGCCUAAGGCUACCAAAUGUGGUAUGUAGUGACAUCUUAUAGUCCUUUACCAAGUUUCUUCAAAUUAUGCCCCUGGGGUAAAAUUUGACCCUGCCCGGGGGGGGGUCAAAAAAUUGAAAUUUGCUUAUAUAAGGCCUAUUUUGUGCAAACUUUAAAAAUCUUCUUGUCCAUAACCGUAUGGCAUAGGGCUUCCAAAUUUGGUAUGUAAUGACUUCUAAUAGUCCUCUACCAAGUUUGUUCAAAUUAAGUUCCUAAGAUCAAAUUUCACCGUUCCCCAGGGGUCACAAAGUUGAACAUUUGCUUAUAUUGGGCCCAUUUUGUGCAAACUUUAAAAAUCUUCCUGUCCAUAACCAUUGGGCCUAUUUCUACCAAAUUCGGUAUUUAGUGACAUCUAAUAGUUCUCUACUAAGUUUGUUCAAAUUAUGCCCCUGGGGACACAUUUGACCCUGCCCUGGGGGGUCACAAAAAUGAACAUAUGCUUAAAUAAGGCCUAUUUUGUGCAAACUUUAAAAAUCUUCUUGUUCAUAAUUAUAGAGCCUAGGGCUACUAAGUUUGGUUUGUAGUGAUAUCUAAUAGGCCUCUACCAAAUUUGUUCAAAUUAUUCCCCUGGGCUAAAAUUUGACCCUGCCCUGAGGGUCACAAAACUGAACAUAUGACGUUUACCAGGGGAGAUUACUGCGGCUGUGUGGCUGUGACCAACAACAACAACAACAUCUUGUAAACAUGAGAUAAAACCCUGUCAUUUAGUUCCAUUUUAGAUCAGAUUGUGACUGCUUACAAAGGAAUUGAAGUAAGAAAAAGUGUUAUGAUUUUUUUUCUUAUAAACUGUAGAAAGUCGGGUUUUAUUUAAAUAUGUCGAAAGUGAACAUAUAUCCGGAUAAAAAUAUUUCGGAUGACAUGUUAAUUUCAUGUCUUUUUGUAGUGCUUAAAACAGUUUAAUAAUAUCUUAUUGAUUUUAAAAACACAACUUCCAUGAACAUAAUUAUUUCAUGAAAAGUCAAUAUACGAUACUGCAUGGUAAACUCGAACUUUGUAUCCAAGAGAAGGUGUUUGAAUUAAUGAAGUGCAAUGUUCUUAACUAUCGUAUAUGAUGCUUUUUAAUUACUAAUGAUUCAUUGUUCCAUUUGUGAAUCGUGACUCAUGAAUUGUGGAUAUGAUUGACAAUUGCUCAACGAUCCAUAUAUAUUUCUGACCAUUUUAUAAUUUUCUUAAAAUAAGUUAUGAAUUGAUCUUAGAAGUCAAAUGUAUUACUUAAUUAAAUACAUUUAUAAAUAUAAAGAAAUAAUCUUUAGAUUAUCAUAAUAUUCUCAGGCCUGUUGGUCUUAGGGAUGUGUGGGUUGUUAAUUAUAUUUUGAGAUGAUUCUUUACAAAGAAAGAUGCUACUAUUGUAUUUGUUAUAAAUGUGUGAAAGGCUCUUAGAAGGAACCAGAGAUUAUUAACCCUUUACCAAACACUAACAGGAUUUUACGGGUUUGUAGCUGACAACUUUAUAAAUAAUUGUGAUAAAAGGAGAAAUUGCUCAAGAUGAGCAAUUUCUCCUUUUAUCACAAUUAUUUCUACCCUACCUGAUCAUUUUUUGCAACCUCUUUCAAAUUGAGAAAGUCCAAAAUGUGUCGUUUGGUAAAGGGUUAAGGCAUUUUGAUUCCUAUGGGUCUUGUGAAUCUGUUUCAAAUCAAAUGCAUAGAUUUGAUCUUCACCAUCUAAAAAUAUGUGAAAUAGAAAGAACGACAAUAUCUUUGGAGAGAUAAAUGUACCUACGUUAUAAGCAAAGGACCUGUGCAACAAUUCCCGGGCUUUUUAGUCUGUUUAGUUUAGUCCAACUUUUAAGCGCCCAGUGGGACGAGGGAUAGAAAGAGAAAGUCACAUGCUUAAGAACAUUUCAACCCAUGCGCAUUGCACGUUUUUUUUUCGCAUAAAAAAACAGUGGAGCGAUACAGGGCCAUCAUGGCCCUCUUGUUUUCUUAUUUUUGGAAGAUUAUGUAUUAAAUGACCUCACCCCCCACACUAUACACCCCUCUCCACCCCCACCCCUCCCUCCUUUUUGAAUGAAGUAUUGAGAUAGGUCCCUUCACCUUUAAAAAGAAAAAAAAGAUGAGCGGUCUGCACCCGCUUGGCAGUGGUCUUGUUAUUAUUUAGUUCCAAUUUUUAUGUUUAUCAAUUUAAAGCCUUUAAUGACAAACUUCAAUACAUGCCAAAAUUGUGAGAAUCUCCCUUAAAAGUAUAGUUUAAUGUAGUUGAUGGUUUACAUUUAGAAUAAAUAUAAUGUCAACAUUGCAUGAAAUAAUAAAUAUUAAAUGCAGUAAACUAAGACAAAAAUCCAAUUAUUCAAACCAAUUUACUUAGCCAAUUUAGAUAAGUUCUUGACAUAUCAUACAUGUAUCAUCAAAAUGUAGUUAAUUAAAAUAAUAAUUGUUUUGUUAAUUUUUUUUAACAAAGUUAUAAUAUGUUUCAAGAACUUUUCUGAAUUUAUUUUACAAACACUGCAGAAUUCAUGUAAAGACAGUUUGUGCUAGCCACAUAAAUGCAGUGUUCUUUACAUAGAACAAACAAGAAAACCCUAAAUCUUUCAGUUUAAAUGGUUACAUUUACUUAAUUUGAAUAGUAAUUGUAUGAAAAAAUGACUAUUAUAGCACAUAAGAUUAUAUAGUUUGUUUUUCCUCUUUUAACAACGAUCUAAACAGAGAAAUAUUUGAUAAAGUAUGACAUGGUUUGCAUGGGUCAUUAACUGUUUUUAGUGUUGAUCCAUCAGUGUCACACUUUAAUGGGUUUAAUCAAAGAUAUCUGGUUUGCUUGAUAACAAAGCCAUGGCAUGGUUCGAUAUGGAGGAGUCUGUUACCUCUAGUUCGAUAACCAAGACAUGGCAUGGUUUGAUAUGGGGGUGCCUGCUACCUCUAGCUAGAUAUCCAAGACAUGGCAUGGUUUGAUAUGGAGGUUCAUGUUACCUCUAGCUAGAUAACCAAGACAUGGCAUGGUUUGAUAUGGAGGUGCAUGUUACCUCUAGAUAGAUAACCAAGACAUGGCAUGGCUUGAUAUGGAAGUGCAUGUUACCUCUAGCUAGAUAACCAAGACAUGGCAUGGUUUGAUAUGGAGGUGCCUGUUACCUCUAGCUAGAUAACCAAGACAUGGCAUGAUUUGAUAUGGAGGUGCCUGUUGCCUAUAUACAGGACUUUAGUAGUAUAUUGUGUUGGGUGUAAGUAAUGUGGCUAUAACUGCAUUGAUAUUAUAUUGCGUUCUCUAACAAGCAUUAAAAGAAGGCCUAUUUGUGUAUGAUUACUUUGAUCAUGACUCAGGGAAAAUGGGACUUAAUGUACCUGCUUAAAGUGUUGUCUCGGGUUAUCCUGUGCAGUAUCGAAGACGACAGUUUCAGAUGUAACGGAAUGUUUGUGUUUAAAGGAAGUCUCUUCUAAAUGAAAAUCCAGUCUAGGCAGAAAGUGUUUUCCCAGAUUAACCUGUAAGGCCAACACAGGCUAAUCUGAGACAAUACAUUACACACAUACAUUAACUCUUUCAGUGCGGGAACGGAAUUUUGAAGGCCUUUGCAAACAGUUUGGAUCCAGAUGAGAAGCCACAGAACGUGGCGUCUCAUCAGGAUCCAAACUGUUUGCUAUUCUGAUAAUAUUCUUGGAAAAAAAAACGAAAAAAAUGCUAAUUUUAGAAAUCAAGCAGACGACAUUUUAGCAGACGGCAAAUUCCCAGCAUGCAAAGGGUUAAGUCCUGUUUUCCAAGAGCUUGACUCAAAUUAAUCAUACACAAAAAGGCUUUCUUUACAGGACUGAGGCUCAUGUUUGUUAGUUUGUUUCAUGAGAAUUUUGUGCUAAAGGGUCACGCAUUAUGGCACAUGCAGGAUGAUGUAUGUGUAUUUUUGCUCAGGAUAGUUCCGGAGCAUUUUAGCUCAAUAUUGUAUUGUACUUAAUUUUUUGUACCUGCCUUCUUUAGCAACCACAUAGCAUGCUUUCUAGCUGUUUGUCAUAUUCAUUGUAUAAUCAUUUGAAGCGUAUUUCUAAUCUUAUAGAUCAACUGAUUGUAAAUGGUGAGGCAAAUUUUCUUUAAUUGCUUCUGUCAAACCUCUUUUGCACACUGCGACUCGCAUUUUUUGCCCAAUCAUCAUGAAACGUUCUGCUAACAUUUGUUCUUAUAAUAUCUAAACUGUUCUGUUUAGUAGUUAAAACUCUGUUGAUGUUGUGUUGAUGGCUAUAGUGAUUGCCAGUUGUUCCCUCAUGCUUGAUCAUCCAUUCACGUGACGGAAAUUUAUUUAUGACGAAUUGGUUUUCUUAUUAUGUUUGGGUUAGAAUUCCAUGAUACUUCUGAAUACCUCUUAUAUCAUAACAGGUCUGUGUUAAAAAUUGUGUUGCUUGGUUUUGUAUCGCACUGUGGCAUUUAAACCGUUUUUUGAGAAUGUGCUGUAUCAUGUUUUGAGAUUGACAGUUACCAAAAAAGAUGUGCUUUGAAAGCAUUCUCAACAUCGAAAGUGUAUAAUUUGUGUAAAUUUUCUCUUUCAUCACAAACUUAGAACUUAUCUUAAAUCUUGAUAGAAUAAAUGGUUAGAAUGUAAUGUACUGUUAGUAUUCAUACAUUCACUGCAGCUGAGUAUUUGAAUUUAAAAUUAGGCUACUUAUAAAAUUAUGAAUUAUAAUGUAUAUUGUAUGAAGCCACAGGUAACUGACUUUUGCAAUGCCUUACAUUGAUAAAAAAUCACUUAUCGUUGCUUCUAUUUUGUUAUAAAACUUUGUUCAAGAAAUCUGUCCACAAUGAUGCCAAUAAAAAUCUCAGCUAAUAUGGUAUUUGAAUUUAAAUUUAUAUUCAGAAAAAUAUUUAUUUUCAACAUUCUGGUGAAACUAAAUAUGUUUGGCGUUGACUAUGGUUAAAUAAAAAACAUUGAUUGGUUCUUUCCCAAAGAAAAAUUUAAAGGACAAAAUAAAGUUCAAAUGAACCAAACAUCAUACAUGCCAUAAUUUUUCAGACCAAUUCCGGGACAUUGAGUUAAAUUGUCCGGGACUUUUGCCGAUUUUCCGGGACAUGUAUAAAAUGUAGCGAUAUUUAUAGACAUAUGCAUUUUUUGUACGUUUUUUUCUUGUUUCGCAUCGUUAAUUGCAAAAGUUCGAAAGACUAUCCGAAAUACACUUGAUCUAUGAACGUCAAAUUAAACAUUACUACUUCCGUUACUAGAUACAAGCCACGUGUUUUCAGUGUAAGCGUUCUAAACAUAGAUGGUGACGUCACUGCGUUAUUGUUAUUAAGACCGGUGUCUGCUUUUAAUUUUUUACUCAGCGAUGUUGGACUUCAGAUGUGUAAACAACUAUCCUUUGCCCUUACGCAGCGGGAAAUAAUGACGUAGUAGAUUAAAGUCAAUUAACAACCACAUUAAACAAUGCCGCCUUUCCGGUUGUUUGAAACAUAGUCUUUGCCAGUGUCAUAUAUUUUCAAAUGAAAUUUUAUUUCACCUUAAAGCUCCAUGUAUACGUGCCUUAGACUAUCUACAUUUUAAUAAGGUGACUUAUUAAAGGUCAAUUCAAUGUGUGUGUAUGUCAGCGCAGCAUUUUCAAACUGUUUUUAUUCUUUCGCUACAUACAUAUUUAUAAUAUAUAUAGUUGUGUAUAGUUAUAUAUUAAUAUGUGUACUGUUGUAAUAUGUGAUUGACAAAUAUGAUGAAUUAUGAUAAACAAUGUAAUACAUAUUAAAGCAUUGUUACAAAAUAUACUUUAUUUGGUCAUAAAUAAACAAAUAAACUUUUACCAUUUAA